UUAUUUUUAUUAAGAAAAGCAGAUUCCAUAUCGCAAGAACCCCAAUCUCGAUCUUUUCACCCACAUUCAAUAAAUUCAGGAAAAAUUCGAACUUUUAUUUAUUUUUUACUUGGGCAAUCCCUUUUCAGAUUUGGAUUUUUAUUUUUCUCAUCCUCAAUUAAACAGUUCCCCCCAAAACAAAUUCGACCCUUUUGCCUCCAUUGUUUGUUGAGUUCCAAUUCUCACUUUCUGUUUCGUAAAAAAUCCAGGUUGUCCGUGCAAUCAAGUUAAAGUGAUUGAAGAAGAUAAAAAUUGUCUUAAAAAAGGGAGUUGAUUACUGAAAAAUUCUUUCCCCCCUUUUGGUUGUUUCAAAGGAUUAAUUCAAUUAAAAAGGCGGCUGCCAAAUGUUUGCUUCCGAUAUGAAUCGGGCGAGGGAUGGCGGCAGAGUUUCCACGGCCGGCAUGGUGUUGUUUCCAAUUCAAUUUACAUGGCCAUAUGGUGGAAGAAGUGUCUCUGUUUCCGGCUCUUUCAAUGGGUGGACUGAGCUCGUGGGAAUGUCACAGGUUGAAGGUUGCCCCAAUGUAUUUAAAGCCGUUUGUGCCGUGCCACAUGGUUCUCACGAGGUUGGUGGUUAGUUUGC